GACAGCCAUAUUACGAAGACACACUGGUUUUCGUACGAUUACCGAAGUUAAGCAAUGUCGAGUCUGGUCAGUACCUAGACGGGUGACAGGUUGUGAAUACCAGGUGCUGUAAG